rnacentral:rRNA from 1 species
AUAUCAAUAAGCGGAGGAAAAGAAAGCAACAGCGAUUCCCUCAGUAACUGCGAGUGGAACGGGAAAAGCUCAAAACUGAAUCGGGUUUUCACUUGUGGAAAUCUGAAUUGUAGUUUAUCGAAUCAGGAUAAGGGUGGCGAGGCUGGUUAAGUCUGCUGCGAUGCAGCACCAUAGAGGGUGAUAGUCCCGUUGCUAGCUGAGUUGCUCUGUUCUUCUUGAUUCGCAGAGUCGCACUGUUUGAGAGUAUAGUGCAAAGUGGGAGGUGAAUUCCUCCUAAAGCUAAAUAUAUCCUCGAGACCGAUAGCGCACAAGUA